GCCUCAGCCUACCGCGCAGCUGGGACAGCAGGAGCUCGCCACAGCGCCAGGUUGGACCAGUAUUUCUUAAAGGCUACUUCAAUUUAUACCGCCAGAGGGCAGAGAUUAGCAAAAAAGAAAAAAAGAAAAGGGCGAACAAACCCGACCUGAUGUUCACGUUGUUUUAAUAUUCCAGUACCUUCUGCAUUCUAUUCCAUAAUAAAUGCAUUCGUUCUAGUGUCCACACUAAUAGAAAUUUGUCCAAGCCCACAGAUCAAACUGACGUUCCAGAUAAGGCAGGAUUAACCUGAAGCUUCGCUCUAACCCUCAAUUCCCAGUGUGAAAAGCAGGAAGGGUGGAAUGACAAUUCCAAUUCUAUUUCCUCAGGUCACUUUGCCUCAGUUAUCGGCGUAAAAGGGAAAUUAUUACCUCCCUCUUUGCACUGGUAGAAUUUAUCAAGCCAAUGCACAAGACAGCGCAUGAGUCAUAGCAAGUACUGAGCUCAUUUUGGUUGUAAGUCAUCCACUAAUUAUCUCCUUGUGCCCUUGAACUUUUCUAAGGCAGAGGUGAAGGACUGCAAAGCAGUAACAGCGGAACGCUAGGGCUGUCAGAGCCGCCGCGGGCACCUUCACAGACAGCUUCCCAACCCUCUUGGCAAGCCGGGCCCGGCAAACACGUCCUUUUGGCUGGACUGGAGCCGCAACCUUCCCUUACGCGGCAAACCUGGCCACUUAGAGAAAAGACAGAAAAAGGAGCAAGUUGCUGUGAGAAUAAAACGUUGGGCGCUGCGAUUCCCGCCAGUUUCAGCUUGCUGGUUACAAGGUGAAGAAGGUGGCAAGAAAAGGAAAACCUUAUGCCAAGGAACCAGAAACCCAGGAUUUUCACGAAAUCUAGCUCAUACAGGAAUUAAGCUCAAGAGCUUGGAUGUUUGCUGACUGGCAACAAUUCAGAAAUGGUGGAGAUAGCAUACAUCAAUCUGUGUUGGCAAAGAUGAUGUGAAGCAGAGCCUUUGUGGUCCUAACGGAGACAUGUUUGAGAUAAAAACUUUUUUGGUUUUAGGACUGUUUAUUACAGCAGCACAAUUUGCCUAUUCUGACUCGUAUGAGCAGGUUCAUAACAGCAAAAUGAGGGUCUGAGCUUUAGAAAGACCAGGCAGAUGGUUCCAUGCUUUGUCUCCCAGCUGUACAUUCUUUCUUGUUUCCUGUUUAUUGAUCUCAUCCAUUGGAGAACUCCCUGAAAGCACAUAUUUGUGCCACACUUAGCAUUGUAUUCUAGGAUCUCAAAUGUGUGUUGAGUGCAUGAGUCAAAUAUUUGACAAGAAGACCCGGACUAUAACUAGCCCUGACAAGUUACAAAUUUAGUUUCUUGUGAGGUUUCUUUAUAGGCAUCCAACGUACCACAAAACCCUGGUGUACAAUAAAAUAUGCCCAAAGUAAAUGGCUUAAAACACUUUUCACCCAAUUCUGAAUUCAGCUGGGUAGUCUUGCUCAGUGUAGUAUCUGCUGUGGCUAGAAUAUCCAAGAUAGUUCCUCACUCACACCUUUGGUAAUUAUCUGGCAUGGCUGAAACAGCUGGGGUUUAACCAGGUAUCUUUGUCUCAAACCUGGUUUUCUCCUGCAGUAACCAGACCUCUUUAUGUAGCGGCUCAGGGUUCCAAGAGGACAGGCCCUUAUGUGCAAGCACUUAUCAAGCCUCUGAUAAUGUCCCAUGGGGCCAAAUAACACUUGCCAAGAAUCAGUAUAUAAAGGGGCUACACAAGAGUGCAAAUACCAAGUGUGGUUCAUAGGGGGGCACCAGUGUUAACAGUCUACCCAAUUUGGUCAUCCUAAAGCAGUUUACUGAAGUCAUGAUGCCUCAUUUUACAAAUAAAAAAGCAAAGUAUCAGAGAUUAAAUCAUUUGACCAGAAUGUGGGUAAAUGGAAACAUGUGAGGUAAAUGGAAAAGAAAGAGACCAUUUUAAAAGGUCUGUGACUAUAAGAACAGGAGAAUCCUUGCUCUCUUCUUCACUAGAAUGAUAAGUGCCAACUUAAAGCAAACCAACUCUCUCUCUUCCUCUAUGCUUGCCAUAUUUUUAGUUCUCGUCUUCCUGAGAAGGAAGGAAAUGGUUAAGUU